AAAAAAAACAUUAAAAAAUCCUAAAGAAAUAUUAAAAAAAUUUAAAAUAAAUCUUAAAUAAAUUUUGAUAAAAUCCUAUUUAAUUCCUAAUUAAAAUUUUAAUGGAUCUUAACUAAAUUCUAGAAAAAUCCUAAGUCCUAAAUCAAAUCUAAAAUAAAUCUUAAAUCCUAUAUUAAAUCCUAUAUUAAAUCCUAAAUAAAUCCUAAAUCCUAAAUCAAAUUCUAAACAAAUCUUAAAUCCUAAACCAAAUUCUAGACAAAUUCUAACACACAUUAGAAUUCUAAUAUCUAUUGAUUGAACCAUUGAUUUUGAUUAAAAAUUUAUACACCUUUCAACUUUUUAGUUGAAAACUAGUACAAAAAAUUU
rnacentral:lncRNA from 1 species